GACCGUCGGCACCAGGCACGACGGGUAGCCGGCCUGAGAGGGUGACCGGCCACACUGGGACUGAGACACGGCCCAGACUCCUACGGGAGGCAGCAGUGGGGAAUAUUGGACAAUGGGCGAAAGCCUGAUCCAGCAACGCCGCGUGAGGGAUGACGGCCUUCGGGUUGUAAACCUCUUUCAGCAGGGACGAAGCGCAAGUGACGGUACCUGCAGAAGAAGCACCGGCCAACUACGUGCCAGCAGCCGCGGCCG
rnacentral:rRNA from 1 species